rnacentral:rRNA from 1 species
CCUACGGGGGGCAGCAGUGGGGAAUAUUGGACAAUGGGGGGAACCCUGAUCCAGCCAUGCCGCGUGUGUGAAGAAGGCCCUCGGGUUGUAAAGCACUUUCAGUGAGGAAGAACGCCUGGUGGUUAAUACCCAUCAGGAAAGACAUCACUCACAGAAGAAGCACCGGCUAACUCCGUGCCAGCAGCCGCGGUAAUACGGAGGGUGCGAGCGUUAAUCGGAAUUACUGGGCGUAAAGCGCGCGUAGGUGGCUUGAUAAGCCGGUUGUGAAAGCCCCGGGCUCAACCUGGGAACGGCAUCCGGAACUGUCAAGCUAGAGUGCAGGAGAGGAAGGGAGAAUUCCCGGUGUAGCGGUGAAAUGCGUAGAGAUCGGGAGGAAUACCAGUGGCGAAGGCGGCCUUCUGGACUGACAAUGACACUGAGGUGCGAAAGCGUGGGUAGCAAACAGGAUUAGAUACCCGAGUAGUC